GCCAGGUACAGUGGCACGUGCCUGUAGUCCCAGCUACUCAGGAGGCUGAGGUGGGAGGAUCGCUUGAGCCCAGGAGUUCUGGGCUGUAUUGCACUGUGCCAAUCAGGUGUCCACACUAAGUUUGACAUCAAUAUGGUGACCUCCCGAGAGCAGGGACCACCAGGUUGCCUAAGGAGGGCUGAACCGGCCCAGGUCGGAAAUGGAGCAGGUCAAAACUCCCAUGCUGAUCAGUAGUGGGAUCUCGCCUGUGAAUAGCCACUGCAUUCCAGCCUGAGCAACAUAGUGAGACCCCAUCUCU
rnacentral:SRP_RNA from 1 species